GACGAACGCUGGCGGCGUGCCUAAUACAUGCAAGUCGAACGCAGUGGGGACGGGUGAGUAACACGUGGGUAACCUCCCAUCAGAGGGGAUAACACUUGGAAACAGGUGCUAAACCGAUACUGAUGGAUGGACUCGCGGUGCAUUAGCUAGUUGGUGAGGUAACGGCUCACCAAGGCCACGAUGCAUAGCCGAGCUGAAGGGGUGAUCGGCGACACUGGAACGGGGACACGGCCCAGACUCCUACGGGAGGCAGCAGUAGGGAAUCUUCGGCAAUGGGAGAAAGUCUGACCGAGCAACGCCGCGUGAGUGAGGAAGGUUUUCGGGUCGUAAAGCUCUGUUGUUAGAGAAGCGGUAUCUGACCAGAAAGCAACGGCUAACUACGUGCCAGCAGCCGCGGUAAUAC
rnacentral:rRNA from 1 species